UUCCUACUAUGUUCUUUAUUUGCACCAAUUUAUAAUGACCAGUAAAUUAUUUACAAUUUCUUUUUUAAUUCUCAACAUUACUAGUAAAAUGGAAUGACAAAAAAAAAUAAUCACAGUCAAUUAAAUUUUUUUGGUCAGGCUAUAUCAUUCAACAAUAAAUACUUUCUAAAAAAAAAACUAAAAAGAAGCACAUAUAAUACAAACAGUUAACAAACAUUCACUGAGCUACCCUUACUCCAAACAAAGAUGAUGCUAGAAGACACUGGUCCUGUAAAAGAGCUAAACAUUUAAGGAAAUACAUAUAUUGUAUACUGGCAAAUGAGCAAUUAGUUGAGAUCAUUGCUGCAUUAGUUUGAUACUUUUGUUAAGUGUUACUUGUGGAAAGGGUAUAAUAGUCAAAAGGUGACAUUUAGCCCUUGAAAACAGUACAAUCAAUUCAUUAGUUUUUUUAUUUUUGAUGUGGUACCUAGAGAACAUAUUUUAUAGGUAAACACUAUCAGUUCACACCAAUUCCAAACAUGCUGCAUACAUAUUACAUAUAUAAAGGCAGCUUAAAGAACCAAAUUUUUAAUGAGAGUAAAUGGUGAAAUAAGGGACAGUAUAUAUGAAACAUAUAACCAAAACAUCAAUAAGAGUACCUGCCAAGAAUAUAUUAAAAAGUCAGUAAAAACAAUAAAAAGUAAUAUAUAUAUAUAUAUAUAUAUAUAU